GACGAACCGUGCGAACGUUAUUCGGAAUCACUGGGCUUAAAGGGCGCGUAGGCGGGCGGACAAGUCGGGGGUGAAAUCGUUCGGCCCAACCGGACAAGGGCCCCCGAUACUGGCCGUCUGGAGGGAGGUAGGGGUCGAUGGAACUUCCGGUGGAGCGGUGAAAUGCGUAGAUAUUGGGAGGAACACCAGUGGCGAAGGCGGCUCACUGGACCGGAACUGACGCUGAGGCGCGAAAGCGUGGGGAGCAAACGGG
rnacentral:rRNA from 1 species